rnacentral:lncRNA from 1 species
CCGCUCGAACAGCGCAGCAACGUAAAAUGGUCCCGCAGCCGCGGACGCAGAGUGGAAACGGACACGGUCGCCGCCACCGAUUCCCGCGCCUGAGCUGAGGUCUGAGCCCGGGCCCUGCUCCUUGGCCCAGACCUUGUGGGUGCCCUUCUUUGCCCUGAGUCAGGAUCUCCCCCGUCCCGGCCCCCACGGCGG